UGCUGGAGGUAUCAGAAGUGCGAAUGCUGACAUAAGUAACGAUAAAGCGGGUGAAAAGCCCGCUCGCCGGAAGACCAAGGGUUCCUGUCCAACGUUAAUCGGGGCAGGGUGAGUCGACCCCUAAGGCGAGGCCGAAAGGCGUAGUCGAUGGGAAACAGGUUAAUAUUCCUGUACUUGGUGUUACUGCGAAGGGGGGACGGAGAAGGCUAUGUUAGCCGGGCGACGGUUGUCCCGGUUUAAGCAUGUAGGCUGGUUGUCCAGGCAAAUCCGGAUAAUCAAGGCUGAGGUGUGAUGACGAGGCACUACGGUGCUGAAGUAACAAAUGCCCUGCUUCCAGGAAAAGCCUCUAAGCAUCAGGUAACAUCAAAUCGUACCCCAAACCGACACAGGUGGUCAGGUAGAGAAUACCAAGGCGCUUGAGAGAACUCGGGUGAAGGAACUAGGCAAAAUGGUGCCGUAACUUCGGGAGAAGGCACGCUGGUGUGUAGGUGAAGUCCCUGCGGAUGGAGCUGAGACCAGUCGAAGAUACCAGCUGGCUGCAACUGUUUAUUAAAAACACAGCACUGUGCAAACACGAAAGUGGACGUAUACGGUGUGACGCCUGCCCGGUGCCGGAAGGUUAAUUGAUGGGGUUAUCCGUAAGGAGAAGCUCUUGAUCGAAGCCCCGGUAAACGGCGGCCGUAACUAUAACGGUCCUAAGGUAGCGAAAUUCCUUGUCGGGUAAGUUCCGACCUGCACGAAUGGCGUAAUGAUGGCCAGGCUGUCUCCACCCGAGACUCAGUGAAAUUGAACUCGCUGUGAAGAUGCAGUGUACCCGCGGCAAGACGGAAAGACCCCGUGAACCUUUACUAUAGCUUGACACUGAACAUUGAGCCUUGAUGUGUAGGAUAGGUGGGAGGCUUUGAAGCGUGGACGCCAGUCUGCGUGGAGCCAACCUUGAAAUACCACCCUUUAAUGUUUGAUGUUCUAACGUUGGCCCCUGACCGGGGUUGCGGACAGUGUCUGGUGGGUAGUUUGACUGGGGCGGUCUCCUCCCAAAGCGUAACGGAGGAGCACGAAGGUUAGCUAAUCCUGGUCGGACAUCAGGAGGUUAGUGCAAUGGCAUAAGCUAGCUUGACUGCGAGCGUGACGGCGCGAGCAGGUGCGAAAGCAGGUCAUAGUGAUCCGGUGGUUCUGAAUGGAAGGGCCAUCGCUCAACGGAUAAAAGGUACUCCGGGGAUAACAGGCUGAUACCGCCCAAGAGUUCAUAUCGACGGCGGUGUUUGGCACCUCGAUGUCGGCUCAUCACAUCCUGGGGCUGAAGUAGGUCCCAAGGGUAUGGCUGUUCGCCAUUUAAAGUGGUACGCGAGCUGGGUUUAGAACGUCGUGAGACAGUUCGGUCCCUAUCUGCCGUGGGCGCUGGAGAAUUGAGGGGGGCUGCUCCUAGUACGAGAGGACCGGAGUGGACGCAUCACUGGUGUUCGGGUUGUCAUGCCAAUGGCACUGCCCGGUAGCUAAAUGCGGAAGAGAUAAGUGCUGAAAGCAUCUAAGCACGAAACUUGCCCCGAGAUGAGUUCUCCCUGAGACUUUAAGUCUCCUGAAGGAACGUUGAAGACGACGACGUUGAUAGGCCGGGUGUGUAAGCGCAGCGAUGCGUUGAGCUAACCGGUACUAAUGAACCGUGAGGCUUAACCUU
rnacentral:rRNA from 1 species